GAGUUUGAUCCUGGCUCAGGAUGAACGCUAGCGGCAGGCCUAAUACAUGCAAGUCGAACGAGAUUAAGGGGCUUGCUCCUUAUGAAAGUGGCGCACGGGUGCGUAACGCGUAUGCAACCUACCUCAAUCAGGGGGAUAGCCCGAAGAAAUUCGGAUUAACACCGCAUAAAAACACAGGAUAGCAUUAUCUAAUGUUCAAAUAUUUAUAGGAUUGAGAUGGGCAUGCGUGUCAUUAGCUAGUUGGCGGGGUAACGGCCCACCAAGGCGACGAUGACUAGGGGAUCUGAGAGGAUGACCCCCCACACUGGUACUGAGACACGGACCAGACUCCUACGGGAGGCAGCAGUAAGGAAUAUUGGUCAAUGGAGGCAACUCUGAACCAGCCAUGCCGCGUGCAGGAAGACAGCCCUCUGGGUCGUAAACUGCUUUUAUUCGGGAAUAAACCUUAUUACGUGUAAUAAGCUGAAUGUACCGAAGGAAUAAGGAUCGGCUAACUCCGUGCCAGCAGCCGCGGUAAUACGGAGGAUCCAAGCGUUAUCCGGAUUUAUUGGGUUUAAAGGGUGCGUAGGCGGCUUAUUAAGUCAGGGGUGAAAGACGGUGGCUCAACCAUCGCAGUGCCUUUGAUACUGAUGAGCUUGAAUGAACUAGAGGUAGGCGGAAUGUGACAAGUAGCGGUGAAAUGCAUAGAUAUGUCACAGAACACCGAUUGCGAAGGCAGCUUACUAUGGUUUUAUUGACGCUGAGGCACGAAAGCGUGGGGAUCAAACAGGAUUAGAUACCCUGGUAGUCCACGCCCUAAACGAUGAAUACUCGCUGUUAGCGAUAUACAGUUAGCGGCUAAGCGAAAGCGUUAAGUAUUCCACCUGGGGAGUACGCCCGCAAGGGUGAAACUCAAAGGAAUUGACGGGGGCCCGCACAAGCGGAGGAGCAUGUGGUUUAAUUCGAUGAUACGCGAGGAACCUUACCCGGGCUUGAAAGUUAGUGAAUUAUCUAGAGAUAGAUAAGUGAGCAAUCACACGAAACUAGGUGCUGCAUGGC
rnacentral:rRNA from 1 species